GAUGAACGCUAGCGGCAGGCCUAAUACAUGCAAGUCGGACGGGAUUUGGGAGCUUGCUCCUAAUGAGAGUGGCGCACGGGUGCGUAACACGUAUGUAACCUACCUUAAUCAGGGGGAUAGCCUCUCGAAAGAGAGAUUAACACCGCAUAAUAUAUUUUUAUGGCAUCGUAGAAAUAUCAAAUAUUUAUAGGAUUAAGAUGGGCAUGCGGAACAUUAGCUAGUUGGUAAGGUAACGGCUUACCAAGGCUACGAUGUUUAGGGGAUCUGAGAGGAUGACCCCCCACACUGGUACUGAGACACGGACCAGACUCCUACGGGAGGCAGCAGUAAGGAAUAUUGGUCAAUGGGCGCAAGCCUGAACCAGCCAUGCCGCGUGCAGGAAGACGGCCCUAUGGGAUGUAAACUGCUUUUGUACCGGAAUAAACCCUUUUACGUGUAAGAGGCUGAAUGUACGGUAAGAAUAAGGAUCGGCUAACUCCGUGCCAGCAGCCGCCGUAA
rnacentral:rRNA from 1 species